rnacentral:rRNA from 1 species
GACGAACGCUGGCGGCGUGCUUAACACAUGCAAGUCGAACGAUGAAGCCGGAGCUUGCUCUGGUGAAUUAGUGGCGAACGGGUGAGUAACACGUGAGUAACCUGCCCUUGACUCUGGGAUAACUGCGGGAAACUGUAGCUAAUACCGGAUACGACCCUCGGAGGCAUCUCCUGGGGGUGGAAAGAAUUUCGGUCAAGGAUGGACUCGCGGCCUAUCAGCUAGUUGGUGAGGUAAAGGCUAACCAAGGCGACGACGGGUAGCCGGCCUGAGAGGGUGACCGGCCACACUGGGACUGAGACACGGCCCAGACUCCUACGGGAGGCAGCAGUGGGGAAUAUUGCACAGUGGGCGCGAGCCUGAUGCAGCAACGCCGCGUGAGGGAUGACGGCCUUCGGGUUGUAAACCUCUUUUAGCAGGGAAGAAGCGAAAGUGACGGUACCUGCAGAAAAAGCACCGGCUAACUACGUGCCAGCCGCCGCCGUAA